GAUGAAGAACGUAGCGAAAUGCGAUACGUAAUGUGAAUUGCAGAAUUCAGUGAAUCAUCGAAUCUUUGAACGCACAUUGCGCCUGCCAGCACUCUGGCAGGCAUGCCUGUUCGAUCGUCAUUUCAACCAUCAAGCCCUAGGCUUGCGUUGGAGCCCUGCGGCUGCCGCAGGCCCCUAAAAGCAGUGGCGGGCUCGCUAUCACACCGAGUGCAGUAGAUUACUCUUCGCUCAGGGCGUGUGGCGGGUUCCAGCCGUGAAACCCCCUACUUCUCAAGGUUGACCUCGGAUCAGGUAGGAAUACCCGCUGAACUUAAGCAUAUCAAUAAGCGGAGGA
rnacentral:misc_RNA from 1 species